CCGACGGUGAGGGGCGAAAGCUGGGGGAGCAAACCGGAUUAGAUACCCGGGUAGUCCCAGCUGUAAACUAUGCAAACUCAGUGAUGCAUUGGCUUGUGGCCAAUGCAGUGCUGCAGGGAAGCCGUUAAGUUUGCCGCCUGGGAAGUACGUACGCAAGUAUGAAACUUAAAGGAAUUGGCGGGGGAGCACCACAAGGGGUGAAGCCUGCGGUUCAAUUGGAGUCAACGCCAGAAAUCUUACCCGGAGAGACAGCAGAAUGAAGGUCAAGCUGAAGACUUUACCAGACAAGCUGAGAGGUGGUGCAUGGCCGUCGCCAGCUCGUGCCGUGAGAUGUCCUGUUAAGUCAGGUAACGAGCGAGAUCCCUGCCUCUAGUUGCCACCAUUACUCUCAGGAGUAGUGGGGCGAAUUAGCGGGACCGCCGCAGUUAAUGCGGAGGAAGGAAGGGGCCACGGCAGGUCAGUAUGCCCCGAAACUCUGGGGCCACACGCGGGCUGCAAUGGUAACGACAAUUGGUUUCGAAUCCGAAAGGAUGAGGUAAUCCUCAAACGUUACCACAGUUAUGACUGAGGGCUGCAACUCGCCCUCACGAAUAUGGAAUCCCUAGUAACUGCGUGUCAUUAUCGCGCGGUGAAUACGUCCCUGCUCCUUGCACACACCGCCCGU
rnacentral:rRNA from 1 species